rnacentral:SRP_RNA from 1 species
UCGUGCUAAGUGGGGAGGUAGCGGUGCCCUGUACUCGCAAUCCGCUCUAGCGGGGCUGAAUUCCUCCUCUGAGGUUCUCGUCUUAGGACCGCUAUCUGUCUGGAGGUGGUGUUGAGGAUUGGGUCCUGUGCAGCGGUGACCUGUGAACUCCGUCAGGUCCGGAAGGAAGCAGCGGUAAACAGUAAUUCCCGGGUGUUGCAGGUCAGCCUGAUUUGAGUCACACCAGCGUGAUAUGUUCUGGGGCGGUAUCGAGGUGGGGGUGCACGG